rnacentral:rRNA from 1 species
UACGGGGGGUGCGAGCGUUGUCCGGAAUCACUGGGCGUAAAGGGCGCGUAGGUGGUUUGAUAAGGGUGUGGCGAAAGUCCGGGGCUCAACCGUCCGAUCUGCCGUGCCGACUGUCAAACUCGAGGGCUGUAGAGGCAGACGGAAUUCCGGGUGUAGCGGUGGAAUGCGUAGAGAUCCGGAGGAAGACCGGUGGCGAAGGCGGUCUGCUGGGCAGUUUCUGACACUGAGGCGCGACAGCGUGGGGAGCAACAGGG